rnacentral:misc_RNA from 1 species
CGCACCUUGCGCUCCUUGGUAUUCCGAGGAGCAUGCCUGUUUGAGUGUCAUUAAAUUCUCAACUCUCUUGUGCUGUUUUUUUGUACAGGAGGGCUUGGAUUGUGGAGGCUUGCUGGCCGCUCGUCUGAGGUCAGCUCCUCUGAAAUGCAUUAGCGGAAACCGUUUGCGAUCUGCCACAAGUGUGAUAAACUAUCUACACUGGCGAGGGGGAUUGCUCUCUGGGUUUAUUCUGCUUCUAACUGUUUCAGCUCAAUGAAACAACGUCUUGAAUGCUUGACCUCAAAUCAGGUAGGACUACCCGCUGAACUUAA